AGUAAUUGUUGGGAGGUUGUGCUUUAGCCACUUGUUAUGUUGCCGUGUGUCUGAAACCAGCUAAGUUCUGCUCAUAUCAGUGUAGUCACCUUUCCCUGAGACGUGAUGACUGAGGCUGCAUUCCUAGGCCUAGAUUCUGUCUGCUAAUACAUUUUGUUUAAUGUUGGUGAACACGAACUCUGACUUUGAUAGCUUAUUUAAGGGGACAGUUCUUAGUGUUUACUAGCUUAUUUUGAAAUGUUCAGACUCUUGUGGCAGUUGUUAAAAGAGUAGAGAACUUCACCACAGCUCUGGUUAGGAAAUUAGGAAGAGAGUUUUCUCUCCAGGUUUAGGAGCUAAAGAGCCCAGAGACCCCAGGCACAACAGGGAUCAUCACAUGGCCUAAAAAAUUAUAUCAACUCAUUCCUUAUCUUUUCCAAGCCAGUGAUCUUGUUUUUCCAUUUCUGGUGUUUGAUUCUCUUUUUCUUUCUUUUGAGAUUGGGCCUCACUGUGUAUCCAGGCCUGGAACUUUGCUUUGUAGACCAGGCUGGCCUUGAACUUACAGGGAUCUGCCUGCCUCUGCCUCAUGUUCUGGAUGCACCACAAUUCCCAACCCCAUUUUCUUUAUGGUCCUCAGCAGCAAAGAUCACAGCACUUUGUCAAGGCAUCAAGCACUUCAGAAAGUACCACUGAACUCAGGGCUUUUGUCCAUUGGUAGUGUGAUGCUCUUAAGGAAAGGAUUUCUACCUUGUUUGCCCCUGCCUCACUGGCAGUGAACAGACAAGAGACCUCUCUCGGCUACCAAGAGCUAAGUAUCAUAUCUAUCUUACCUGUUGUGCUAUUUUUUUCAGACAGGGUUUCACUGUGGGGUCCUGGCUGGUCUGGAACUCAGAGAUCUGCCUAUCCCUGCAUCUAGAGUGCUACGAUUAAAAGCAUGCUGUCAUGCCCAGCCACCUGUUGUACUUUGAAGGGUCAUGGCUGCCUUAUGUUCUUUUCUUGGGCUUGCUUAGUCAUCUGAGAGCAUCUGAACCUAGUUCCAUCCCUAAGUGUGCAGCCAGGAGUGUAUCUUCUCUUUUCAACUCUCACGUUUUUAUCACCAAAAUGAGGCUGUUGAAAGAAAAGGGAAGCCUCUAGAAAUCUUAGAAAGAAAAACCUUGUGAUAUAGUUCUCUGCCAAAAUCCUGUCCUCCCUUUGGCUUCUAACCAGACAAAUCCAAAUGAGACAGGAAAACCAAAGCAGAAACUUAUGUAGAAACUUGGUGGAAAUUAGCUUGCCUUGUUGUUCUGCUCUUAGUGGGUCCAAAAGUAGACAGAGAGUAUGGAAGCCAACAUUUGGGACAGAAAGCUUUUGUUCCCACACCCCCUGUUUACCUCGGAGUCUGCUAUAAUGUCUAGAAUGAGAUCUGGAACUGCUUAGACGUGACACUUUCUGGAUAGGAAGGGGAUGCUUUCCCCUUAUUACUAGGCUCAACCUUCAGUCUGGAUAGCUAAUGUAACUGCAGUGUGAGAUGGUGUUUGCCUAAUUAAUGUGCUCCUGGCAACGUUCUGUCUAAAGAUGUUGGUCUUCAGGAUAAUCACACACAUAAAACUGUUGUGUGACAUUAAUAACAACAAGGAUCCUGGGAGACACAAGAAGUCAGUGUAAGACCUAGUCUGCUGUCAUAACUUUCAGCCUGUAAGCAAUGAAAGUCCCAUGGAUGAUACCAGAUGAUGGUAGUAGACCCAUAGUAUAUUGGGAUCAAUUGCCAAAUCCCCCAAAUCAGGUUUCCAGGUUCAUUAAUGACCCUUAAAGACUUGAAUGUGAGAUCUGCACCUGAAAAAGAGUCAAAGCCUCAUCCACAGGGUGAUGAUCAUCCUCAGCUAGAGCUGAGGAAGAGCUGCCUACUGAACCUGUGAUGUAGAGCUAGAUAACAUCUAAAAUUCAUCUGAACCCGACAGACUUACCAAAUAUACACAGUUAAUAGUUGGAGGCCUGUGUGCAUGACUGCUGCAGAUGCAUCCUAAUGUCUAAUCUGUAAGGAGCCAUAGCCAGCGGGGAUCUAAACUGGCCAAAAGUGAAUUAUAGUUCAAAUAACAACUGAACGAGAGCCAUAAAAGCAGCUGGGUGAUGGUGCUGCACACCUUUAAUGCCAGCACUCGCAGGAGGCAGAAGCAGGAGGAUCUCUGAGCUUAAGCCCAGCCUGAUGUAUAGAGGGAGUUCCAGGACAGCCAGGGAUACACAGAGAAACCUGUCUUGAAAAGCAAAAACAAAAGCCAUAAAACCAAAUAAAAGGGAAUGUGCAGGGCUAUCCCAAAAACAAACAGCAUAAACAUGUGGGAUCCUAAUCUCUAGUCUGGCUAAGAGCAAGGACUUAAGCCAAUCUCCUAACAAGUAGACCCCAUUUGUUGUCAAAGAUUCAGAAGUGGCUCAUUGGAAACUCUACCAUCUAAUAAAAGUUUUCAGCAAAUAGAAUCUCUUUGCCAUCUGGUGCCUUGAGAGAAACUAUACAUUUACUCCUGUAAUUAAGAGGCACCUGUACCCUGGCGCUCAUGACCAGUCCCUGUAGAGAAGAAACCCCAGAAGAGUCCUAUUCAUCUGCCCCCUAUAUGGUGGCACAAAGACUUCCUCAGAGUGUAUUCAGGAGUUGGCACCAACCAGGUUUACAGCUCGCUAGAUUUUUUUUUUUUUUUUUUUUGAUUGUGGACAUUGGAUGAGCCUCAGGUUCAGCCACAUAUAUGAAAAUAAAUGUAAGUUGGUUAAUUGUUUAGAAAAAUGAAAUAUAAUUGAUCCCUUCCUACUGGGUAUUUGAUAAUAGAAACACCUUAGUCAUGAACUCUAGAGAGAGCCAUGUUCUGCUUCCUCAUUAAUAAACUAUAAAGUUUCUGGUAGGGACUCCACUAGGCUUCUCUUGAGACGAUACUUAGCCAGGCUCUGUGGCUUAUGAAACAAUAGCAAAGUCUAUCUCAGUCCCAAAAAGUCUCCCUGAAAAAAAAUAAGUACCUAAGUUUCUUUAUUUCAAUGGGAUGGAAGACCCAAGUUUGUGUCAUAAUUCUUGAGAGAGACAGGGCAUUCCUUCCCUCCUCUUAUGCUUCAGCUUCUUGGACAAGAAAGCAGCCUCUGCAGUUGCCUGAGUAGCAAGGAGACAUUUCUGAUGAGGAUCUGAUGUUGUUAUGUUCAUAUACGUUUGUUUGAAUUGAUAUUUUUGACUCUUCAUUCUGGUUCUCUGUAGCAAAGAGUCAGUCUCUUAUCAUAUGGGAUAUAUUCAACAGGCUGUUCUUUUUUCAAGUUUCAGGCUUCUGUAAACAAUAUAUUUGGGAGUUCAAAAUUAGGGACUGGAGUGAUAACUCAGUCAAGUGCUUGCCAUGCAAGCAUGAGCACCUGAGUCUAAUCUGUAGAACCUGUUU
rnacentral:lncRNA from 1 species